UCACGUAUCCACGUAUAAACCAUCCGUGAACUGUCUCACCCUUUGAUUGUCUAAGUGAGUUUGUAAUAGAUAGCACAUGGACUCGUUUCUUGUGAUUUGGAGAGUUCGCUAUUCUGUUGCCUCGGAAUUUAUUCCGUACUUAGAUUCUCUCAGGUGUAUUUUCUAAAUCACACUUGUAUUAA
rnacentral:misc_RNA from 1 species